UGGCAUUGCUGUACAUAUGGGGUCUCGA
rnacentral:piRNA from 1 species